UGCCAUUAACUCUUAGGUGCAUUUGGUAGUGACAUGGGCUUUCCAAACGUAGUCCAAGAUCCUGAAUGUUGCGUAGAAGGUUGCGUUUAUGAACUAUCGUCAGAAUAUCUACCGCUUUUGGAUAUAUGUAUUGCUUCUUCAAAGCAAUACAAGAGAUUGGAUGUGUGAAAAUCCUGCUCGAUUUGAGCAUGGUAUAAUGUCAACAAUGUGUUGCUGCAGUUGUUUAUGUUGCUCAAGAAAAAUAUAUCUCGCCAGAUUCUGUGCAACUGGAUACUUCAUUUACCUUGAAGUAGUACUUUAUAAGAACUGAUUUACUUACUCCAAACUAAGUUGAAUAUUUAAAAAGUUUCAGUAUAAAUCACGCUUUCGCCCUUUGAGAAUACUUUUUAAGUAACCAACAUGAGCGCAAGUCAACGCGUAAUGCUGUUCAUCUUACAGCAGAACAAAGUCAACGCGCCAUAAAUUGAUAUAUUGGGCUCAUCCUCUCGACUUACCAUAACAUUGUUGGAUAGCUGUUGGAUUUCUAUUUUCUUACGUUGGUCAACAUAACGUAAUUCAAUGUAAUCAGAAGCUUUCCAUUCAAAUUUAUUAUCGAUUUCUUGCUUUAAAA